CCAGGGUUCAUCAAGUACAGCAAUAACAUCGGCCCAAGGGUAGUGUGAGAGGAGGACUGCAGGAGGGCAGGCGAGGCCUGGCCCGUCCAGAGGCAGUGCCAACCCACGGGCCAGGAGGCCUUGUCCCACUGGCUCUCAGGGCCCAGCCAGUGGGGGCUUGGCAAGGGCAGACCUUCAGUGACACAGGGCAGAAGACAUUUCACAGAGAAAGAACUCUGACCCAGGAGCGAGGCUUCCUUUCACGACUUGGAUCUGCCUCAGUGUCCUUUGCCUGCCCACCCUGCUGUUCCUUACAUGACACCUCCCCAUAGGCCUUGGCUGGGUGCAGCCCCUCUGUGAGCACUUCCCACGAUGGCUCCCAGCUCAGCGAGCACAGCAUCAUCCAGCGCACAGCCAUGACUUUUGGAAUUUCCCUGCUGGACUGACUGCCAUAAAGCAGGAAGCGUCAACGAAGCUCUCUUCCUCUCUCUCCAUCACGCGCACAGUCAGAGACGGAAACAAAGCCGCCGUGAGAAGACCGAGGCCGGGUGUCCAGAGCUUUGAGAAUCACCAUGAUGAAAUCUGGAAGGAGAAGUGGAGGAGAGGAAGAAGAAGAGGAAUCGGAGGAGGGUGGAGGAGGUACCGCAGCUGUGCCAGGACUGAGGCUGCCCUCCCAGUUUAGCUCCUAAGAAUCUGGAGACAAAGGCAAAUAGCCAACUGGAGGGGCUGCUGCCUCCUCCAGCCUCCCCAGGACUUGGAGCCCAGGCUGGGACACUGUCCCUGGUGGGGUUCUCAGUGCAGGAGCUGAUAGGCGGCACAAGCCCUGGGGGCAAGGGCUUGGGCUUUGCUCUCUGAGGCCCCAGCUGGUUUCCCUCCUCCCAGCCACAGGCUGGUGGAGUGGGGCAGGCAGCACUCACUGUGGAGAG